AAAACUUUCAACAACGGAUCUCUUGGCUCUGGCAUCGAUGAAGAACGCAGCGAAAUGCGAUACGUAAUGUGAAUUGCAGAAUUCAGCGAACCAUCGAAUCUUUGAACGCACAUUGCGCCCGCCAGUAUUCUGGCGGGCAUGCCUGUCCGAGCGUCAUUUCCCCCCU
rnacentral:rRNA from 2 species